GGGGACUUAGGNUAAUUAACACAAACCACAUGCCUUCAAAGCAUGAAACAUGCCUCACACAUAGUCCGUG
rnacentral:tRNA from 1 species